CCUACGGGAGGCAGCAGUGAGGAAUAUUGGUCAAUGGGCGAGAGCCUGAACCAGCCAAGUCGCGUGAAGGAUGAAGGAUCUAUGGUUUGUAAACUUCUUUUAUAUGGGAAUAAAGUGCGGCACGUGUUCCUUUUUGUAUGUACCAUAUGAAUAAGCAUCGGCUAACUCCGUGCCAGCAGCCGCGGUAAUACGGAGGAUGCGAGCGUUAUCCGGAUUUAUUGGGUUUAAAGGGUGCGUAGGUGGUUAAUUAAGUCAGCGGUGAAAGUUUGUGGCUCAACCAUAAAAUUGCCGUUGAAACUGGCUGUCUUGAGAGGGCGAGAGGUAUGCGGAAUGCGCAGUGUAGCGGUGAAAUGCUUAGAUAUUGCGCAGAACUCCGAUUGCGAAGGCAGCAUACCGGAGGCGAUCUGACGCUGAGGCACGAAAGCGUGGGUAUCGAACAGGAUUAGAUACCCGUGUAGUC
rnacentral:rRNA from 1 species